rnacentral:snRNA from 1 species
AUCUGAGGGCGAUCUGGCUGCGACAUCUGUCACCCCAUUGAUCGCCAGGGUUGAUUCGGCUGAUCUGGCUGGCUAGCCGGGUGUCCCCUUCCUCCCUCACUGCUCCAUGUGCGUCCCUCCCGAAGCUGCACGCUCGGUGGAAGAGGACUAUAGAAGGAGUGUACCGAGGUCUCCAGUCUUCGGUCCCGGGUAUACAAUAGCUGCACUCCCCUGCUAGAACCUCCAAACAAGUGCCUAUCAGUGGUAAAGGUAGAUGCUGCCAGUACAUACUGUAUACAUAGCUGAAUUUACCAGCU